rnacentral:lncRNA from 1 species
CUAAACUGUGGUCUAUGGACAAUGGGUGGAGCAUGAGUAGUAAGUGGCCCACACCAGGCUCAUGAAACCUUGCUGAGUAGCAGACCAGUUCAUGAUAGCACAGCUUCUCACAGAUCCCCAGAGGGGUAGAAUUGCUGUUCUGUGACAUUGUUUCUCCAUGUUUUAAAAAGCAAUUAUGUUCUGUCAAGACACAAAAGGCUUGCUGAAAGCCUUUGAAUACAUAAAAGUUAUUGCAAAGGAGCGGGAAAUCAACUGUGCUCUAUAUCUGGUAUGGCCAGUAGGGAAAGAAAAAAAAAAUGUGGAAAAUUAAGGCUAAAGAUUAAAUUAGUUGAUAAGUGGCUGAUGUAUUAAUAGUUGAAUACACUGGGAUAAACUGCCCAGGGAGACUCUAGACUCUCCACAACUGAAGUCUUUCAUCACAGCACUGCCCAACACUAGCCAGAAAUGUUGCAGAUUGAGCUGAUCCUGCCAUUAGGGAAGAGGAGACUAGGCAAGCUCUCGCGGUACCUUACAGCUCUGUCCAUUUUGUUAGACAGUUUCUAACAACAACAGCAACAACAAAAUCAACUACCCACCCACUGCUGAGUCUUUCUUUCAAAUAGUCUCCUUCCCUUUUCUACGGAUGAGGCUCUUGUCUGUUUUUUGCAAUUUCUGUGGUUCUGAGAACAGAUAGAAUUCAGUGAAAUAAAGAAUUUUUUUGCAUAUCACAAGGAUCCAGUAUUUAUUUGCUUCUGACAUUUGUCUAGAGUCCAAAGGCCCAUUAGUGCUAAAUCAAACACACUCAUUUAAUAACUAACAGCAGUACAUCCUGCCAAAUAAUGUUCUCUAACUUUUUUUUUUUUCCUUCUGUUGGAAGCAGGGCACCCAAAAAAGCAAAAUGAAUUAGAGGCUCUUGCUACCCCUAUCAGAGGGAGAGAGAUUAUUUGAAAGAAGGAAUAUGCCUAUCUGCAGAGGGAAGAUAACCUUUGACGGAUAUCCUGAGCAUUUGCCUACCCCAGGAGAGAGCUUUCCCAAGCUUUGCAUUUGUGCUAACGCCACGCAAAUCUUCCAGCAUUCACCCCCAUCUCAGACUGCAGAACUGAAGGCAAAGCAGCCAGCACCAGACUUCUUUCCAUGAAAUAGUCAGCUUUGGGGCAAAGGACAGCAACUGCACAACCAUGCACCUCUUUGGAAGAGGACAAAAUGAACAGGGAAAGAUUCUUUUGGAACCCAUU